GAUGAACGCUAGCGGCAGGCUUAAUACAUGCAAGUCGAGGGGCAGCAGGCCUGUAGCAAUGCAGUUGCUGGCGACAGGGAAACGUGUGCGGAACACGUACGCAACUUACCCUGAACUGGGGGAUAGCCCGGGGAAACCCGGAUUAAUACCCCGCAAUAUAAUGGGUUGGCAUCACUUUGUUAUUAAAGCUCCGGCGGUUCGGGCUGGGCGUGCGGCUGAUUAGGUGGUUGGUUGUGGUAACGGCGGACCGAGCCUACGAUCAGUAACUGGUGUGAGAGCACGAGCAGUCAAGCGUGGACUGAGACACUGGCCCUGCGACUACGGGCGGCAGCAGUAGGGAGGAAUGAGUAAUGGAGGCAACUCUGACCCAGCCAGGCCGAGUGGAGGAUGACGGCUCUCGGGUGUGUAAACUUCGGUUGUAGGGGACGAAACCUGUGUAUUCUGACGCAGUUGACGGUACCUAAGGAAGAAGCACCGGCUAACUACGUG
rnacentral:rRNA from 1 species